rnacentral:rRNA from 1 species
GACGAACGCUGGCGGCGUGCCUAAUACAUGCAAGUUGAGCGCUGAAGGUUGGUACUUGUACCAACUGGAUGAGCAGCGAACGGGUGAGUAACGCGUGGGGAAUCUGCCUUUGAGCGGGGGACAACAUUUGGAAACGAAUGCUAAUACCGCAUAAAAACUUUAAACACAAGUUUUAAGUUUGAAAGAUGCAAUUGCAUCACUCAAAGAUGAUCCCGCGUUGUAUUAGCUAGUUGGUGAGGUAAAGGCUCACCAAGGCGAUGAUACAUAGCCGACCUGAGAGGGUGAUCGGCCACAUUGGGACUGAGACACGGCCCAAACUCCUACGGGAGGCAGCGGUAGGGAAUCUUCGGCAAUGGACGAAAGUCUGACCGAGCAACGCCGCGUGAGUGAAGAAGGGUUUCGGAUCGUAAAACUCUGUUGGUAGAGAAGAACGUUGGUGAGAGUGGAAAGCUCAUCAAGUGACGGUAACUACCCAGAAAGGGACGGCUAACUACGUG